rnacentral:rRNA from 1 species
UACGAGGGAGGCAAGCGUUGUCCGGAAUCAUUGGGCGUAAAGCGCGUGUAGGCGGCCAGGUAAGUCCGUUCUGAAAGCCCGGGGCUCAACCCCGGGAGGCGGAUGGAUACUGCUUGGCUCGAGUCCGGAAGAGGCGAGUGGAAUUCCCGGUGUAGCGGUGAAAUGCGCAGAUAUCGGGAGGAACACCAAUGGCGAAGGCAGCUCGCUGGGACGGUACUGACGCUGAGACGCGAAGCGUGGGAGCAACAGG